rnacentral:rRNA from 1 species
UCCUAAGGCUAAAUACUCUCUAGUGACCGAUAGUGAACCAGUACCGUGAGGGAAAGGUGAAAAGCACCCCGGAAGGGGAGUGAAAUAGAACCUGAAACCGUGUGCUUACAAGUAGUCAGAGCCCGUUAAUGGGUGAUGGCGUGCCUUUUGUAGAAUGAACCGGCGAGUUACGAUUUGAUGCAAGGUUAAGCAGUAAAUGUGGAGCCGUAGCGAAAGCGAGUCUGAAUAGGGCGUUUAGUAUUUGGUCGUAGACCCGAAACCAGGUGAUCUACCCUUGGUCAGGUUGAAGUUCAGGUAACACUGAAUGGAGGACCGAACCGACUUACGUUGAAAAGUGAGCGGAUGAACUGAGGGUAGCGGAGAAAUUCCAAUCGAACCUGGAGAUAGCUGGUUCUCUCCGAAAUAGCUUUAGGGCUAGCCUCAAGUGAUGAUUAUUGGAGGUAGAGCACUGUUUGGACGAGGGGCCCCUCUCGGGUUACCGAAUUCAGACAAACUCCGAAUGCCAAUUAAUUUAACUUGGGAGUCAGAACAUGGGUGAUAAGGUCCGUGUUCGAAAGGGAAACAGCCCAGACCACCAGCUAAGGUCCCAAAAUAUAUGUUAAGUGGAAAAGGAUGUGGCGUUGCCCAGACAACUAGGAUGUUGGCUUAGAAGCAGCCAUCAUUUAAAGAGUGCGUAAUAGCUCACUAGUCGAGUGACACUGCGCCGAAAAUGUACCGGGGCUAAACAUAUUACCGAAGCUGUGGAUUGUCCUUUGGACAAUGGUAGGAGAGCGUUCUAAGGGCGUUGAAGCAUGAUCGUAAGGACAUGUGGAGCGCUUAGAAG